AAGGAGCGCAUUUAUUAGAAACAAAACCAAUCGGGCUUCGGCUCGUCUUUGGUGGAUCUGAAUAACUCAGUUGAUCGCAUGGUCUCGCACCGGCGACGUAUCUUCCAAGUGUCUGCCUUAUCAACUUUUGAUGGUAGUUUAUGCGACUACCAUGGUUGUAACGGGUAACGGAGAAUAAGGGUUCGACUCCGGAGAGGGAGCCUGAGAAACGGCUACCACAUCCAAGGAAG
rnacentral:rRNA from 1 species